ACGGGGUGCAGCAGGCGCGAAAACUUUACAAUGCUGGCAACAGCGAUAAGGGAACCUCGAGUGCCAGGUUACAAAUCUGGCUGUCGAGAUGCCUAAAAAGCAUUUCAUAGCAAGGGCCGGGCAAGACCGGUGCCAGCCGCCGCGGUAACACCGGCGGCUCGAGUGGUAACCGUUAUUAUUGGGUCUAAAGGGUCUGUAGCCGGCCGGAUAAGUCUCUUGAGAAAUCUGGCAGCUUAACUGUCAGGCUUUCAGGAGAUACUGUCUGGCUCGAGGCCGGGAGAGGUGAGAGGUACUUCAGGGGUAGGGGUGAAAUCUUGUAAUCCUUGAAGGACCACCAGUGGCGAAGGCGUCUCACCAGAACGGACCUGACGGCAAGGGACGAAAGCUAGGGGCACGAACCGGAUUAGAUACCCCGGUAGUCC
rnacentral:rRNA from 1 species